GCAGGUACUUUACUACUAGCGCCUUUCCUGAUGGCUCAGUAAAGAAUCCGCCUGUAAUGUGGGAGACCGAGGUUUGAGGGUCCCUGAGGCCGAGGCGGCACUGCAAGCAGCGAGGUGGGUGUGGAGUGGUCGCCCCGACUCCUCUCACCACGAGGUGCCCUACGGAGAGGGUUCCUCAGACCCUGAAGCCAGGUGGCCCCACGACUGUCUUCGCCUGGAGAGAGUGGCUGCGAGACUGCUGACCUCCAACACCAGGCCCAGGGAAGUCAGCCACGACCAGCCCAGGCAGCAUCCAGCCCCGCAGGGCCACCAGGCUGCAGGCCUCAUGGGGACAGGAGCCAGGGGUGAGGCCGAGCCUGGUGGGCCCCGCUGUCCCCGCCACCCCUGCCAGCCCGCAGGCCUGGCCACAGAACGAGUUCUCCUGGAGUGGGCCAGCUGGGGCCUCACAUGUGGCAUUAGAAACCAGAAUGUCAGGACAGGGCGAGGCCAUGGGCACUAGGGGAGAGGCCGGUCAGGUGAGAGAGAAGACACCUAUGAGAGACAGAACUGUAUCUACACGUAAAAUUUAAUUCUGCACCAGACUGUUAAAAUGAAACAGAAAGCUCCAGGGAGAGAGAAAAUAUUCACCAAUCAUAAAUCUAAUAAAGGACUGGUGCAGAGUAAGAACCAAAGUGUAUGGGGACAGCAUCCAGCACGGGCGGGGGGGCGGAUGCGCAGUCACAGUGGAGGUGGCCGGGCAGCUUCUCACCAAGUGCACUCGCCCUCACCACGUGACCAGCGUCAUGCUCCCUGGUACUCACCCAGAUGAGCUGAAACCUCACCUCCACAUAAAACCUGCAACAUUCACUGCUCUAUCCGUGAUCAUUAACAACUGGAAGCAACCAAGAUGCUCCUCCAAGAGGGGAUGGAUACACCAUGGGGUUCCAUCGAGUGGAACAGGAUGUUGACUCGCACAACAGGACCUGUGCGUCUUAAAAGUAAUCCAGCCCCACCUGUGAAUCGACUCAUAGGACCUUCUAGAAAAGGCAUAGCUCCGGGAGGACAAGUGUUAGCGGCUGCUGGGGCUCAUGGGUGGGGAGCUUCGGUCAGAGUGUGGAUGUGUCCACCCCUCAGCGUGCAAAAACCCAAGGGGCUGCCUUCCCAGAGACUGAACUGUAAUGUGUGCAAGCUGAAACAAUAAAAUCUUGUCAAACUGUA